ACCGGCGCACGGGUGCGUAACGCGUAUGCAACCUACCUUUCACAGAGGGAUAGCCCAGAGAAAUUUGGAUUAAUACCUCAUAGUAUUAUGGAUUGGCAUCAUUCUAUAAUUAAAGUUCCAACGGUGAAAGAUGGGCAUGCGUCCCAUUAGCUAGAUGGUAAGGUAACGGCUUACCAUGGCAACGAUGGGUAGGGGUCCUGAGAGGGAGAUCCCCCACACUGGUACUGAGACACGGACCAGACUCCUACGGGAGGCAGCAGUGAGGAAUAUUGGUCAAUGGGCGCAAGCCUGAACCAGCCAUGCCGCGUGCAGGAUGAAGCAUCUAUGGUGUGUAAACUGCUUUUGUACGAGAAGAAACAGCUCUUCGUGAAGAGCCUUGACGGUAUCGUAAGAAUAAGGAUCGGCUAACUCCGUGCCAGCAGCCGCGGUAAUACGGAGGAUCCAAGCGUUAUCCGGAAUCAUUGGGUUUAAAGGGUCCGUAGGCGGCCUUAUAAGUCAGCGGUGAAAUCUCCCGGCUCAACCGGGAAAUGGCCAUUGAUACUGUAGGGCUUGAAUUACUAGGAAGUAACUAGAAUAUGUAGUGUAGCGGUGAAAUGCUUAGAGAUUACAUGGAAUACCAAUUGCGAAGGCAGGUUACUACUAGUGGAUUGACGCUGAUGGACGAAAGCGUGGGUAGCGAACAGGAUUAGAUACCCUGGUAGUCUACGCCGUAAACGAUGGAUACUAGC
rnacentral:rRNA from 1 species